rnacentral:miRNA from 1 species
GCGUGCGAGGUGCCAGGCAUG